rnacentral:rRNA from 1 species
UUAAUUGAAGAGUUUGAUCAUGGCUCAGAUUGAACGCUGGCGGCAGGCCUAACACAUGCAAGUCGAACGGUAGCAGGAUGUGCUUGCACAUCGCUGACGAGUGGCGGACGGGUGAGUAAUGCUUGGGAACUUGCCUUUGCGAGGGGGAUAACAGUUGGAAACGACUGCUAAUACCGCAUAAUGUCUACGGACCAAACGGGGCUUCGGCUCCGGCGCAAAGAGAGGCCCAAGUGAGAUUAGCUAGUUGGUGAGGUAAAGGCUCACCAA